rnacentral:tRNA from 1 species
GCCGAGGUACCCAAGCGGUUAAGGGGCAUGCCUGGAGAGCAUGUGCGCCUCGUGCGCGCCAGGGUUCGAAUCCCUGCCUCGGCG